rnacentral:rRNA from 1 species
AUUGAACGCUGGCGGCAGGCCUAACACAUGCAAGUCGAGCGGAUGAAGGGAGCUUUCUCCUGGAUUCAGCUGCGGACGGGUGAGUAAUGCCUAGGAAUCUGCCUGGUAGUUGGGGAUAACGUCCGGAAACGGGCGCUAAUACCGCAUACGUCCUGAUGUAGAAAGUGGGGGAUCUUCGGACCUCACGCUAUCAGAUGAGCCUAGGUCGGGUUAGCUAGUUGGUGGGGUAAAGGACUACCAAGGCGACGAUCCGUAACUGGUCUGAGAGGAUGAUCAGUCACACUGGAACUGAGACACGGUCCAGACUCCUACGGGAGGCAGCAGUGGGGAAUAUUGGACCAUGGGCGAAAGCCUGAACCAGCCAUGCCGCGUGUGUGAAGAAGGUCUUCGGAUUGUAAAGCACCUUAAGUUGGGAGGAAGGGAAGUAAGUUAAUACCUUGCUGUUCUGACGUUAACAAAAGCAUAAGCACCCGCUAACUUCGUG